CUGAGAUUACCAUCUGAAUCUAACAGCCUUCUUUAGAAAUUACUAAGCGUACAGUGUCCUGGGAACGCACAGAGACACAGAAACCAGCAUAAGCACAGGGUACAUUGCCCCAGGAAUGAGGACUGAGAUUUGCUUUCCUCUCUCACUCUGAAAGGAAGUAAAGAUAGGCUCCGAGCUUGGGAGAAGCUUGAUUAAUUGCCAAGCUAAGGCUAGUGAAUGAAAGUUCAAUUAGAAUUAUGCUUGCUAAUGAAAUCCAAGUGCUGGAGCAGGAAGCUGGCAGAAGCGGCCCUGUUUUCUAACAUAGAUAUGAUGGUUGGAGCCCCAGCAGCCAUUUUGGACCAUGAGGAUGGAAACCAUGGAAUAAGGAUGGUGUGGCAGAAAGAUAAAAGGAGGCUGAGUCCCUGAUAACAUAAUGGAGCUGCUGCACCACUUCUUAACUGUCCGACUCCAGACUUCUUUGAUUUGAGAGACUAAAUUGCUGAUUUAUUUAAGCCACUGUUGUCAAUAAAAAGCAGUUAGGAAUACAGUUCCUAGAAGGCACAUUCAUAUUUUCAUUUCACACUAGAAAAAUGGAAUAAAAUGUGUUAUAAGUUGUUUGGGGGGGGCUUGCUUUUUCCCCCCAAAUGAUAAAAUCAACAUGUUCUCAGUAUUUACCAGAAAACUAAAGGCAAAGUUCAUUGUCACAAUGUGAGGAGCCCCACUGAGACAACUAUUUAUUGACCUAAGUUGAUUUUUCAGAUCUCUGGUGCUGAACAUUGGGAGGUGGGGUGAGAGGGUGAGGAGAUUGCGUAUGUCUACCUAGGAAGGGGACUAAACAGGAAGGAGACCAGCAGCCCAUCUUAUCCUGGGAAAGGUGGGUUUGUAUUUCUGCCCCUAGCAUAGGUAGGCAGGUGUGAGAUCCACCUUGAAUCUAUGGGAAAGCUGAGCGUAUUCCCUGGACUGGGAUAUGGUGUAGAUGGGUCCGGGGCCAAAUCCUGUGACCAGAAUUUAGCCCAGUGGCCUUAAGUCUUGGUCCCAAUUUCCCCCACCUAAAACAAUCAUGCCUCCAGAUGCUUUUCAGACUGGCAUGUAACACUCUUCCAAAAGAUGAAGAUUCCUCUCAUUCUUUAAGACAGGGCUCCACUGUCACCUCCUCCUGUCCCGAUUUUCACCAGGAAAGUCUCCAUUCUCUUCUCUGUGCCCUUCAUCAUAUAGAUUCCACUUAUUACAUUAUAUAGUAAUUAUUUGUUUAUACAACUCUAAUUCUCAUUAGUUUGGGGGCUCCAUGGGGGUGCAGGAAGGAAGGCCAAUAUAACUGUGCGUCUCUGGAGCCUGGCAAGUACACCUAAGUGUUUAAGGUUAAAAGAAUUAAAUCCCAUCAAUUACUCAUUUUUAAAAAUUCAUCUAGUAGGUUCUUCAUCAAGUUUAAGGAAAAAUUAUAACCUCAUUGUCCCUCUGGGGCAAGCCUGUCCAAUGAACAAUUUGGUUCAACUUUUAUGUAACAAAGUUGUCAAUUGUUUCUCAGCUGCCACAAACCCUCUGCUCAUGUAACCUAAGCAUGCUCAGAUGAACCAAGCUUGCAACUUCUGGGGGCACCCUAAGUGCUCAGACCAAGGAGUGGGGACUGAAUGGAGAAGCAGGUAUCACACGGCAGGAUCCAGAAUCCAAUCAGAUCAGGCUCUGCUGUCACCUCAUGGCAGGACCCAGUCAGAUCAGGCCUCCUGACAUCACUUCAUUUCAAGAUCCAAUCAGAUUGCACCUCAUUACCCUAUGCUUAUAAAACCUGACCCAGCCCCAGCUCAAGGGGCCACUGCUUUGGAAACUAUCCCUGGUGUUCUUUGUACUUGUUGCAAGUAAUAAAAACCACCUUGUUAAACCCCUCUUGGUUGUGGUCAUUGGGCUGUCACUGGCCAAGCUACCAAACUCAUCCAUUGUGUGGGUAACAAGCUGAACUUCAUCUAAGAGGUUAAGAGAUUUAUCAUAAGUGGGAGAAGAGUAGGAAGGUGCUCCAUGGCCUUCUUCAUGAAGUUCUUGCUGAUUCUGUGUUGUUCUCCUCGUUUAUAUGACCUUAAAUUCUUGCAUUGCUUCAAUUAUAGCACUUUGCUCACUGUCUCAUGUGUCUCCUAUGUGACUUGCUCCAGGAUAGUGCUCAUACUGUGGCAAUCAAGGGUGUGGCCUUGAGACUAGAGCCUGAUUUGACUCCUGGCUCUACCAGGUGUGAGAACUUUAGACAUUUUCUUUACUUUUUUUAAGCCUUACUUUUCUCAUCUCAAAAUGAAGAGAGCAUCAAUAUCAGCUAUCACGUUUGAGUGUGAUUCCAAACACUUCAUAUGAAUUAAAUUUGUUGAAUCCUCAUGAAACCAUUAUGAUAUUGGUACAAUUCUUAAUACCCCUGUUUUAUAGAUGGGGAAACUGGUACAAGAACAUAAAAUAACUUGCCUAAGAUCCCAGAGUAAGAGAGUAGUAAGCUAGGGUUAGAACUUAGGCAUCCAUGCUCUUAACCACCACAACCAGUGCUUUUACUUUUGCUACACUUUGAAAUAGUACUUGCCUUACAGAGUUAUUAUAAGAUACGGAAAACACAAUCGCUGGCAUACAAAAAGCACUGAAUAAAUGUUAGCUGUCAUUACAUCUGUACUCCCCUUUUGCACACAUUCAGUAAAUUUUUGUUGAAUAGUUUUGAGUGUUAAUAAGUGUUUAUGAGGAUAUAAUAAAGAGACACAUACACAAAAGAAGACACAAACCCACACAUAAGUAUGCAUCCAUGGAGAGACACACAUGUGCAUACCAAAAGGACUGAAUGUGGAGUAUGAGGAAUCACUAAGGAUCAGGAUACCAGCAGAAUUGGAGAAGCUCCUGAAAGGCAGAGCUAGAAAAAUAGAAAGAGUCUUGGAUGUCCAAAGGCAGAAGUAUCCAGUGCUAAUUUCUGGAGCAUUCAGGGACAUGGAAUCCCAGUGAAUGGGGAGGAACUGCAGACAAGGCUGCCAUGCAAGACUGCAGUUUGUGCCUUACAAAAAGAUGCCACCUGGGGGUUGGGGGGCAGAGUGGGGGCUGAUAUCCAAUCUGUACUCCAUUCGCCAUGCUGUAUACUCAAAACACUGUGUCCACCCCAAAGACGCACCUUUUCUCAUUUAUCUGCCAAUGAGGAGUGCCUUUUUCUAACUCUCACAAAGGCUAAUGAUGGCAAUAAAGAUCCCAAGAGACCUGAGGGAUCUCAGGCAGAAAAUAGAGCCGAGGAACAGGGUCUAUUCUUGUGGUUAAGCAAUGAUCAAAAAGGCUAACAUUCAGGUUAGAGAGCCCCAGAAGUUCAUUCAUGUACUCAAAUAAUUAUUAAGUAUUUAUGCUUAAUAAUUAUGCUUAAUUUUCAGGCACUAUGCUGAAAAACAUGGGCACAAUCCCCACUCUCAUGUAGCUCCCAGACCUCUAGAGGAAACAGAUAUCAAACAAGUAAACUAAUAUAUAAUGUCAGAUAGUGAUAAAUGCUAUAAUAGACAUAAGAAUUGCAAGAUAGAGAGUGACUGGGGAAGACGAAGGGCAAGUUUUGGGUAGAUAUUUGAGCUGAGAACUGGAUGAUAAGAAAGAGAUGGCCAUGAAAUCUUGAAGAUUAGCCCUUUAGGAGGAAUAAGUUGGUGUCAGAGUUUAGGGACAAUAAGGACACCCAGAGAUUUACCAUCCCAAGUGGGGCAUGGUUGAGAGCGAAGAGGCAAUGUUGAUAAUUACGCCAGGACAACAGGUAUAAACUGGGCCUGAACUGGGAAAAUCAGAGUGAAUGAGCACCUUACCUUAGGGGGCAUAGGUAUUAGGUUUAUUUGGCCAGAGAAUCUGGAGCUCAGCAUUUAGACUGAGCCACUUGAUCCUGGGUUGUGAAAGUGAUUUAAUUCACCCAUUCAUAGGAAGAAGGAAAUUGCUAUGAGCAAUUCUGUAGUUCUGUUAGAGAUGCAGCUGAUCUCAGCCAACAGGAGUAUUGGAGCAGUGGUGGAUUCCACUGCCAGGAAUAAAGGGAAUAUGAAUGGACUGCCUACUCUGUGUGAGGCAAGUGUUUUCUUGCUUAAUCUUCACAACAAAAACCCCUUAUCAUGGGUACAAAUUUAUGUCCCAAUUUACUGAUGAUAAAAUUGGCUCAAAGAAGUUAAAUAAUUUCCCCAAGGUCAUGUAGCUAGGGAAUAACAGAGGUGGGAUUCAAACUUGGACCUAUUGGGUCUGAGCAAAUUGUGCUUGCUUCUAUACCAUAUUGUCCCUAGACAGAGGCAGGGGAAAGAAAGCAGGGGCUGAAACAGGUACAGACACAUUCCAAUAUGUGUGGAGAAGCAUACUCACAUAUUGACACAAAGCCACAGAGAGAACCAGAAGCACCUGGAGGCUUUGCUAUGUGGAAAAGGUUCUGUGGCCAAGACAGCUAGAUAUCCCUCAAUAUCUGUUCUCCCCUUCUUUUACAGAAUAUCCUAUUUUUAGCUCAGCAUAGUAACACCCAGAUUAAAGAUUACAUUUCCCAGCUUCCCUCACAUCUAAGUGUGACCAAAUAACUAUGUUCUACCCAAGAGGAUGUAAGUCAAAGUGGUACCACUACCUUUGCACAACCAUAGGAGGCACAAUUCACAAUAUGAAGAUGCUGAGAGUAGAAAUGAUGUUACAACCUCAAAAGGAAAAGGCAUGUUCUUCCUGGGCCCAUUUUUCCUCCUAAGAGACUGAAUGUACCAACGAACAAUGGCAAUAGAACUCUGACCCACAACCUCUUCAGCAACCUGCUUGGGAAGCCAGACCACAAUCCCUGCAGCAACUGGCCCAGAAUGGGCAAGACUUGGUCAAUAACUGCCAGCUUCUCCAUUUUUUGUCCCUGCUUCCAACUCAGGAUCAACUACAGAAAGUCACAUAUGCCUCUGAAUCAAUCACAUAAGAUGCCCGUUUUUUGUUUGUUUGUUUUGUUUUUUGUUUGUUUUGUUUUUUCCUUUUUUUUGUUUUUGUUUUUGUUUUUUUAGAUGUCCAGGGUACAGUGCAGUGGUGUGAUCACAGCUCACUGCAGCCUCAACCUCCUUGGGCUCAGGUGAUCAUCCCGCUUCAGCCUCCGGAGUAGCUGGGAUUACAGGAGUGUAGCACAAUGCCCAGCUAUUUUUUCUUUUCUUUUGUUUUUUUUUCAUAGAGACAGGGUUUUGCCAUGUUGCCCAGGCUGGUCUCGCACUCCUAGGCUCAAGGGAUCUGCCAGCCUUAGCCUCCCAAAGUGCUGGGAUUAUAGGUGUGAGCUGCUGCACCCAGCCGGAUGCCCCACUUCUAAUGAGCCCACUUCCAGCUUUCCUACGCCAACUACCUCCAAUCAGGCACCCCUGAAGCCUUCUCUCUUUUCCAGUGUGAACCUUUUUCACUGUUCUGCCAGCCUGUGAGUUUCUGCCAAAUGCAAGACUCUUUGCUAGGGCAAGCUCUGAAUCAAUGACCUCUGCUUGCUCUCUUUUGGAUAGUCUUCAUUUAUUUCUACACCCUCUUCCUGCUGAGUGGAAUGCAGAUGUAGUAGGAUGCAAGGGUCUCCAGUCUCUGGUGUCAUGGAACUGCCGUCCACUCUGGGCUGUUAGUAAGAGAGAAAUACAUUUCAGUCUUUUAAGACACUGCCAUUUUGUGUCUGUUUCAGCAACCUAACCAAACACACACACACACACCCUGAGGAGCCUUUCUAGUUCAGAUUGAACACUCAAACUUCAUCUAUUUAAAGCAUACUAAUUUGGAACUUGUGCAAGUUUGCCCUGGGGCAGCCUGGGUAAAAGGGUCCAUUUGCACUGGAUUAAAAAAAUCAGAGUUUGCUGAGCAGAUUCAUGUACUCCAGAUUUUACUCAUUUAAACUAGGAUUUUUAAGCAUCUUUCAUUUGCACACAAUGAUUGAGAUGCUAAUUACAAGAGACUCAUACCUAUUCAUUAAUACUUGAAAUUUACUUAGUCCGGGCAGUCUGA
rnacentral:lncRNA from 1 species